UUUUUUGUUUGUUUUAUGUUUUCUUUUAUUAUAUCUUUAUUUCUUUAUUUUAAUUGCAUUUUAAUUUGGUAAAAUAUACACUUAGUAUCUAAUUUAGUAUUUUGACUUAGUCCAUAGUCACAAAAAGUCUAGACCCCCAAAUAACUUAGUUUGACAUUUUAUUAAUUAUAAAAGUUAUCCAAAUAAUCAUUUUUACUACUGUUUUAUUCAUCUCAUAGUAUUUAAACAUUUUAUAAAUGUGUGGUUCUUCCCCAACAAUUAUCUAUGCAAUAUUUGGUUCACUCCGAACAUUUUAGUUUUAAUAUUUGAAAUUUUUUAUUGUUUGCCUAUUUUUGAAUUUGAAUUUGAAUCGGUUUUGAACUAACUCGAGAUUAGCAACUAUAAACGAGGUGACAUGGCAUCGUUAGCAGAGGUUACUAUAGCUUGAUUAUCCGGGCGUUACAAAUCUCCUCCACUACAAGAAAUCUCGUCCCGAGAUUUAGGAGGUAGAAGGAAACAGUGCAGGGUAUUCAUCGCGAAGACGAUCCUCGCGUUCCCAAGUGGCUUCGUCUUCAGAGUGAUUCGACCACUGGACUUUGAGGAAUUUGAUCGCCUUCUGACGUGUGCGGCGUUCAGCUUGGUCAAGAAUGCGGACCGGAUGCUCUUUAUAGGAGAGGUCCUGUUGCAAUUCGAGCACUUCAUGAUCCACCGCUCGGAUUGGAUCCUUGAAGCAACGGCGGAGUUGUGACACAUGGAACACAUCGUGAACCUGAGAAAGGUUCGGCGGAAGCUCCAGUUGAUAUGCCACCUUUCCACGCCUCUCAAGAAUAGUGAAGGGACCGAUAUAGCGAGGAGCUAGCUUUCCCUUGAUCCCGAAGCGGUGAGCACCCUUCAUUGGUGUAACUCGAAGAUAAGCCUUUUCGCCAGGUUGAUAGACCAUGUCUUGGUGAUGACGGUCAUACUGACUUUUCUGACGUGACUGAGCAGUCUUGAGAUUCUCGCGAAUAAUGCGAACUUGUUCUUCGGCCUGUUGGAUAAUAUCCGGACCGAAGAGUGGACGUUCCCCAGUUUCUGACCAGUUCAGAGGGGUUCGGCACUUCCGUCCAUAUAACACUUCGAAGGGGGACAUCUUCAGACUAGCUUGAUAGCUAUUAUUAUAAGAGAACUCGGCAUAUGGAAGAGAUUCCUCCCAUUUCUUGCCGAAUGAGAUUACACAAGCUCGAAGCAUGUCUUCGAGAACUUGGUUGACACGUUCAACCUGUCCUUGUGACUGAGGAUGAAACGCAGUACUGAACGACAGAUGAGUCCCCAUAGCUUCUUGGAAACUUGCCCAAAACCUUGAAGUGAAUAAGCUGCCACGGUCUGAACUGAUAACCAGUGGGAUACCGUGAAGUGAAACAAUUCUGGCCAUGUAGAGAGUAGCAAGCUGACUAGCCGUGAUUGUCUCUUUGACCGCCAGAAAAUGGGCAACUUUGGAAAGCCGGUCAAUGACGACAAGAAUAGCAUCAUUACCUUUCUGCGAUUUGGGAAAACCAGUGACGAAGUCCAUCUCAACAUGGUCCCAUUUCCAUUCAGGAAUAGAGAUAGGUUGCAGAGUUCCAGCAGGCCUUUGAUGCUCUGCUUUCAUUCGGCGACAAACGUCACAUUCAGCAACAUAACGAGCAAUGUCCUGCUUCAUAUUAGACCACCAGAAUCUUUGACGAAUAUCCUGGUACAUCUUUGUACUACCAGGAUGGAUGGACAGAGGCGUAUCAUGGGCUUCUUGCAUAACCCUUUUAGUCUUAUCCAGGUUUUUCUUCGAACAUGGUACCACUAAGCGGCCUUUGAAAUACAAGGCGCCAUCGUCGGCGAUCGUGAAGAAUGAGGGCUUUCCCCUUUUGAGGUCGCGCUUAAUCUUGAGGACUUCAUCGUCACACUUCUGUAUCCAUUUGAUGGUGUCCACAAGAUCUGGUUUCGCAACCAGGGUAUUGAGAGAACCCUUGGAAACAACAUGGAGGUUCUGUUUGGGGAAACCUUCGGGAGGGGGAGCGAGUGAUCCCGGAGGAACAAUAUGGAGGUUCAGCCUUCUAAAUUCUUCAACAAGCGAUGGGUGAACUUUGUGAGCCUGGAGGUGGUUACAGUAAUACUUGCGGCUCAAGGCGUCAGCCAUUACAUUAGCCUUGCCAGGGGUAUAGGAUAUACCCACGUCAAAGUCUGCAACAGUCUCCAUCCAUCUUUGCUGACGUAGAUUUAAAUCUGGCUGAGUAAACAGAUACUUCAGACUUUGAUGGUCGGUGAAGAUCUCGCAACGAUUACCGAGAAGGUAAUGUCGCCACUGCUUUAGUGCAUGAAUGACAGCAGCAAGCUCAAGGUCGUGAACUGGGUAGUUUUCUUCGUGAGGAUGCAGUUGACGAGAGGCAUACGCAAUCACUCUGCGCUCUUGCAUUAGGAUACAACCUAAUCCUUGACGGGAAGCGUCGCAGUAAAUGACGAAGUCCUUCUUAGUAUCAGGUGGAGCAAGUACGGGGGCAGAAGUCAACUUGUCUUUGAGCGCCUGGAAACUAUCCUGACACUUGUCUGUCCAGUCAAACUUGACACCCUUAUGCAACAGAUUAGUCAGAGGCCUGGCAAUCUUGGAGAAGUUCUCGAUGAAUCGACGGCAAUAGCUAGCGAGACCGAGAAAACUUCGGACUUGCUUGACGUUCUUUGGAGGAGUCCAAUCGAGAAUAGCCUGAACUCGUUCAGGGUUGACGGCAAUACCAUCCUUGGAGAUGACAUGCCCAAGAUAGGUUACUUCGGGGAGCCAGAAUUCACACUUGGAAUACUUAGCAUACAGUUGAUGCUCUCGAAGUUUUUCCAGCACAAGACGAAGAUGUUCAGCAUGUUCCCCCUUGUUCUUGGAAAAUACAAGGAUAUCGUCCAAAUAAACCACGACGAACUUGUCGAGGUAAUCCAUGAAUAUAUAAUUCAUCAGACGAGAGAAGGUGGCUGGAGCAUUCGUUAGGCCGAAUGACAUGACGGUGUACUCGUAUGACCCAUACCGAGUCACGAAGGCGGUUUUUGGGAUGUCCUCUUCACGAACACGGAUCUGGUGGUAGCCCAACCUCAAGUCGAGUUUAGAGAACACUGACGAGCCAGCCAGUUGAUCAUAAAGAUCAUUGAUCCGAGGAAGCGGAUAUUUAUUCUGAAUGGUAGCUUGGUUUAUAGGACGGUAGUCUUGGACUAAUCGGUUUGUCCCAUCCUUUUUCUUAACAAAGAGAGAAGGUGCCCCCCAAGGAGAGCAACUUGGACGUAUGAAACCUUUUACAAGAGAUUUGUCGAUUUCCUCCUUAAGCUCAAUGAGUUCAUGCGGCGGCAUCUUAUAGGGUCGUUUAGCUAUAGGGGUGGUGCCGGGUUUCAAGUCGAUGAUGAAUUCGACAGCUCUAGCAGGAGGAAUCCCUGGAAGUUCUUCUGGGAAGACAUCUUGGAAUUCACGAACGACGGGAAUGUUUACAAUGCCCUCGAGUGGUGCAGUGUUCAACGCAUUCAAGGCAUAAAGUCGUGCCUCGGCGUUCUGAACUAGAUGAGCUUGGUAAGCUAUUAUUUCGUCAGAAGGGUGUAGCAGAUGGACGAUCUUAGUGGCGCAAACUAUAGACGCAGUAUGCGCUUUCAACCAAUCCAUUCCCAGAAUGAGGUCGAUGCUACAGGACUUUAGUACGAUGGGGGAGGCAAGGAAUUCCAGUCCUUCAAUUUCAACGGGGACGUUGUGACUAACCAUAGAGGUUUGACACUGGCCCGCAGGGGUGUGUACCACAAUCGCAGUGUUCAUCUCUUCGUAUUUAAUGCCAUGCAUGAAUGCAAACUCAGCUGAUAUGAAUGAAUGUGAUGCCCCUGUAUCAAAUAAGACAGAAGCUGGUACUGAAUUUACGAGGAGUGUACCCAUCACGGUAGCAGGCUGGUCUUGGGCUUCGUUCAGAUCAACAUGGUUGGCAUGAACGCGACCAUAAGACUUGGCAUUGUUGUUGCGGGGCUGGUUGUUUCCACGGCCAGUUGCUGGAAGGGCCAGUUGAUUCUGUUUCUGGUUGCAUUCCCUAGCACGGUGCCCUGGUUGUCCACACCUGAAGCACAAACCAUUCUCGGGAGUAGGAACAGGAGCUUGGGGUGGUGGAGCUGGAAGCCUUGGCUGCCUAGUUGGAGCAGUUGGCAGACGAGGUGCAGCAUAGGACUGCCUUGGGGCAGGUGCAUUCGGCUGGUACAUGCUGUUGGGAAUCCAUAUCUUGCGCUUCUGCGAGGACGGGCCCGAAGAUGAGCCCGUGUCACGGCUGCGCCUGUGAGAGCUCUGGUAUUCCUGCAGACCAGUUUCGACAUUGAUGGCUUUGUUCACCAGAGUGGCGAAAUCAACAAAGUCAUGCACUAGAAGUGCGAGCUUGAUGUCAGCUUGAAGGCCAUCCCGGAACUUCUCCUGUCUGCGUGCAUCAGUUGCAAUGUCCUCUUCAGCGUAGCGGGACAAGUCCAGAAACUCUCGCUGAUAAGCUUCCACCAUUUUGUUGCCUUGGGUGAGGUUGCGGAACUCACGCUUCUUCUGGUCCAUGACUCCCUGAGGAAUGAAGCGAGCACGGAAGGCAGCUUGGAAGUCUGGCCAGGUGAUGAUUGUCCCAGCUGGCAGGGUACGCCUGUGGCUGUCCCACCAUUGAGCUGCGGGUCCUUUCAGGAAGAAUGAAGCAAAGGUGACAUAGCUAGCAGGGGCUACAUCAGCAGACUCCAUCUCAUAGGUGAUGUCACGGAGCCAGUCAUCAGCAUCCAGAGGCUGAAUUGAGCUACGGUACACGGUUGGGUUGAGGCGCAUGAAAUCCUGCAGAGUCACUUGGGUUGGCUGCUGGUUCAUAUUGGGGCGAGGGAACUGAGCCAUAAUAUUCUCCAUGAACUGACGAUUCAGCUCAAACUGUUGCAUCAUCCCAGCCAUGUACUCAGGCGGUGGUGGGGGGUUGCCACCACGACCACGACCACCUGGUCUAACCAUCCUGCUAAUAUUUAACAGGGGUAGUUCAGCAUUUAGCAAUUUUGCAAAGACAAGAAUCAUUUAUGAAGAAACAUGCACAAUGAAAGCAGCCCGAUAGAUACUACAUAGUAGUCGGCAUAUCUUACAAAAGAGACCAUGCAUAGAGUUCGUUACACAGAGUUCGGUACAAAGUCUAAGACAUCAUAGGCGGCACGCAGGCUCGCGGCGAAUGCAACUAACACUAACAAGCAAGUCUACAUCAGUCCCACACGGUACUGCGGAGGUAGCUGUAGCCUGAAAGCUGGUAGUGUGGCAGCGGGUACACCACGUCGGCAACCUGGGGUCCGCGGGGGCUCUGGUGCUGAACCCGACGCUCAGGUGGCAGAAGAGGGCCAAGUGCGGGAGAGUAACCUCCCACCUCUGGCCAACCGACACCCUGAGGCAUCACGGUCCUGGCGGGGUAGAUAGCAGAACGCGGCAGCUCCCCAGAUCCAACAAAGGGGUGUAACAUCGUCAAAGCACGGUAGAGGUGCUGACGAGUGGUGUACAACUCGUGGCGAAGAGCUCGGUUAGCUCGAUCCAGACCAUCAGCAUGCAGAACAAAGUUCUGAUGGUGGAAGGGCUCGCGGGUGACAGUGGAGUAGGCAGCAGUGUAGUAGCCCUCCGCACCAAUAUCAGAUGCGAUAGCAAUGUGCCUGAAGGGGGAGGUGUCCAACUCCCGGUACUCCCUACGAAGGCGUGUCAGAGCAGCAUAGGCAGCAUCGUGAACUGCCAUAUCGAUGGUCACUCCAACACCAUAAGCGGUGUGCAGCACAGUCGUGGAGUCAUACUCCCGGGAGUAGAGGUGGACGGUGGCACGGUACUGCUCCUGGUUAAAGUCCUGGUACUCCUCGGUGACGGUGUACUCGGGGUGCCAGCGAUAACCCAGUUAGGUCAUCAUCUCAGCUAGCACGGCAGGUGAUCCCGAGGCACCAAUGGCCGUCGUGUGGCGUACGACCUGCCUAGUGGGUUCCAUCUGAAAACAAAGAUGUUUCAAAGGAGUCAAUUGCCAGUGUGGAAAUUGUUCAAAAUACUAUUCUAAGGAUUAACUAUGGCUUUAUCCAACUUUGGGGUGGACGUCGUAACGGGAUCCUAGUGUCAGAGUUAGUAAAUUUGUUUAACCCGAGUAGAAGAGAGAUCAGAGUCCCAGAGUAAGGAUCGAGGAGUAAAAGAUCCUAAUAUCACCCGAUGACGACGUGGGCCCGUAAGGCACACAGCCAGGUUAGUAAAAAGUUUUGCAAUGUCUAGACUCGACUUCGGCCAAGAAGUGUGGAAGGGGGAUUCCUACGGGCAGUCGGCUCUGAUACCAACUUGUGACACCCCCGAUUUGACCGUACACUAAUCAUACACGCAAACGUGUACGAUCAAGAUCAGGGACUCACGGGAAGAUAUCACAAAACAACUCUACAAAUAAAAUAAGUCAUACAAGCAUCAUAUUACAAGCCAUGGGCCUCGAAGGCUCGAAUACAAGAGCUCGAUCAUAGACGAGUCAGCGGAAGCAACAAUAUCUGAGUACAGACAUAAGUUAAACAAGUUUGCCUUAAGAAGGCUAGCACAAACUGGGAUACAGAUCGAAAGAGGCGCAGGCCUCCUGCCUGGGAUCCUCCUAACUACUCCUGGUCGUCGUCAGCGGGCAGCACGUAGUAGUAGGCACCUCCGGUGUAGUAGGAGUCGUCGUCGACGGUGGUGUCUGGCUCCUGGGCUCCAACAUCUGGUUGCGACAACCAGGAGGAAGGGAAAGGGGGAAAAGGGGGAGAAAGCAACCGUGAGUACUCAUCCAAAGUACUCGCAAGCAAGGAGCUACACUACAUAUGCAAGGGUAUCAAAUGGAAUAAGGGUAUCAUAUGUGGACUGAACUGCAGAAUGCCAGAAUAAUAGGGGGAUAACUAAUCCUUUCGAAGACUACGCUUCUGGUAUCCUCCAUCUUGCAGCAGGAGAAGAGAGUAGAUGGAAGUCCUCCAAGUAGCAUCGCAUAGCAUAAUCCUAACUGAUGAUCCUCCCCUCGUCGCCCUGUGAGAGAGCGAUCACCGGUUGUAUCUGGCACUUGGAAGGGUGUGUUUUAUUAAGUAUCCAGUUCUAGUUGUCAUAAGGUCAAGGUACAACUCCGGGUCGUCCUUUUACCGAGGGACACGGCUAUUCGAAUAGAUAAACUUCCCUGCAGGGGUGCACCACAUACCCUAACACGCUCGAUCCCAUUUGGCCGGACACACUUUCCUGGGUCAUGCCCGGCCUCGGAAGAUCAACACGUCACAGCCCUACCUAGGCACAACAGAGAGGUCAGCACGCCGGUCUAAACCCUAUGGCGCAGGGGUCUGGGCCCAUCGCCCUUUGCACACCUGCAUGUUGCGAACGCGGCCGAAAGCAGACCUAGCCUAGUGGCCUUCCAGUCCAAUCCGGCGCGCGCCACUCAGUCGCUGACGUCACGAAGGCUUCGGCUGAUACCACGACGCCGGGAUACCCAUAACUGCUCCCACGUAGAUGGUUAGUGCGUAUAGACCAAAUGGCCAGACUCAGAUCAAAUACCCAGAUAUCGUUAAGCGUGUUAAGUGUCCGCAAACGCCGAACAGGGCCAGGCCCACCUCUCUCCUAGGUGGUCGGAACCUACCCUGUCGCUCCGCCUCAAGAUCCACUCGCGGGUGCUCCUACGAGCCUACCCGUCUUUAGUCACCACAUGUAUCAUGUAUAAAGUAUAUAGUAUAUACCCGUGAUCACCUCCCGAGUGAUCACGGCCCGAUAGUAUAGCAUGGCAGACGGACAAGAAUGUAGGGCCACUGAUGAUAAACUAGCAUCCUAUACUAAGCAGUAGGAUAGCAGGUAAGGUAUCAACAGUAGUAGCAAGGACAGGCUAUGCAUCAGUAUAGGAUUAACGGGAAGCAAUAACAUGCUACUCUACUCUAAUGCAAGCAGUAUAGAGAAGAGUAGGCGAUAUCUGGUGAUCAAAGGGGGGGCUUGCCUGGUUGCUCUGGCAAGAGAGAGGGGUCGUCAACACCGUAGUCAUACGGGGUAGCAGCGGCGUUGGUCUCGGUGUCUAGAGAGAGAAGAGGGGGAAGAAACAAUAAAUAUAAUGCAAGCAUAUGCAUAGUGAAGCAUGACAUGACAAGUAACGAUGCUAGGCGUGCCCUAACGCGGUAGCAGGUGAUACCGGUGAAGGGGGAUAAAAUCCGGGAAAGUAUCCCCGGUGUUUCGCGUUUUCGGGCACAGGAGCCGGAGGGGGAAAGUUGCGUGUUCGCUAUGCUAGGGAUGCGUGGCGGACGAACGGGCUGCGUAUCCGAGUUCGUCUCGUCGUUCUGAGCAACUUUCAUGUAGAAAGUAUUUUCAUCUGAGCUACGGUUUAUUUUAUAUUAAUUUUAAAAGAUUUAAAUCAUUUUUAGGAUUUAUUUAAUUAAUUUAAUCAACAUUAUCCAAAAUAGUGUCUGCUGACGUCAUCAUGACGUCAGCAUGACGUCAGCAGUUGACUUGGUCAACUGACAUGUGGGUCCCGUUCGUCAUUGACUGAUUAGGCUAAUUAGCAGUUAAUUAAGUUAACUACUGUUUAAUUAAACUAAUUAGUGUUUAAUUAAACUAAUUAGUUAAUUAGGUUAAUCUAAUUAUGAUUAACUAACUUAAUUAAUUCCUUAAUUAAUUAAAUUAUUAUUAUCCAUUUAUUUAUUUUAUAUAUUAUUUUUAGUUCCCUUUUUUUAUUAAAACGUUCUGGGGGUGGGGCCCCACUGUCAUAGGGCCAGAGGAGGCCUAGCGGGUUUGGGCGUGGGUGCCCGCCCGAACACGCACGGGCGCGGGUGCUCUGGGCGCCGGCGUCGGGCGUGUGGACUGCGGCGAUUCGAGGGAGGCCGGGGCGAGCGGCGGCCGGGUGGUGCAGGAGGCGAGUGGCAGGCCAGCGUGCGGUAGCGGCUGCGGGUGGCCGCGGCCGAACCAGGAGGCGGCGACGCAGGCGGGCGCAGGCAGCUGCCGGCGAGCACGNNNNNNNNNNNNNNNNNNNNNNNNNNNNNNNNNNNNNNNNNNNNNNNNNNNNNNNNNNNNNNNNNNNNNNNNNNNNNNNNNNNNNNNNNNNNNNNNNNNNNNNNNNNNNNNNNNNNNNNNNNNNNNNNNNNNNNNNNNNNNNNNNNNNNNNNNNNNNNNNNNNNNNNNNNNNNNNNNNNNNNNNNNNNNNNNNNNNNNNNNNNNNNNNNNNNNNNNNNNNNNNNNNNNNNNNNNNNNNNNNNNNNNNNNNNNNNNNNNNNNNNNNNNNNNNNNNNNNNNNNNNNNNNNNNNNNNNNNNNNNNNNNNNNNNNNNNNNNNNNNNNNNNNNNNNNNNNNNNNNNNNNNNNNNNNNNNNNNNNNNNNNNNNNNNNNNNNNNNNNNNNNNNNNNNNNNNNNNNNNNNNNNNNNNNNNNNNNNNNNNNNNNNNNNNNNNNNNNNNNNNNNNNNNNNNNNNGGGGGGAAUGGGGGUUCUGGGUGGGGGGUUAGGGUUAGUGGGGGGGAUAAGGGAGGCGUGGGGGGGCCGGCUGGGCCGUGGGGUGGGCCGGUGGCCGAAUGGGCCGGCCAGUUGGGUCGGCUGGCCCCGGGAGGGGGGGGCUUCUCUCUUUUCCUUUUUUUUGUUUGUUUUAUGUUUUCUUUUAUUAUAUCUUUAUUUCUUUAUUUUAAUUGCAUUUUAAUUUGGUAAAAUAUACACUUAGUAUCUAAUUUAGUAUUUUGACUUAGUCCAUAGUCACAAAAAGUCUAGACCCCCAAAUAGCUUAGUUUGACAUUUUAUUAAUUAUAAAAGUUAUCCAAAUAAUCAUUUUUACUACUGUUUUAUUCAUCUCAUAGUAUUUAAACAUUUUAUAAAUGUGUGGUUCUUCCCCAACAAUUAUCUAUGCAAUAUUUGGUUCACUCCGAACAUUUUAGUUUUAAUAUUUGAAAUUUUUUAUUGUUUGCCUAUUUUUGAAUUUGAAUUUGAAUCGGUUUUGAACUAACUCGAGAUUAGCAACUAUAAACGAGGUGACAUGGCAUCGUUAGCAGAGGUUACUGUAGCUUGAUUAUCCGGGCGUUACACCUUCUCAUGUAAGAUUAAGAUCCACAACAUUAUGAUAACUUCAGUCCAUUACAACAUGAUAAUAGG
rnacentral:lncRNA from 1 species